rnacentral:rRNA from 1 species
UACAGAGGGUGCGAGCGUUAAUCGGAAUUACUGGGCGUAAAGCGUGCGUAGACGGUUAUUUAAGUCGGGUGUGAAAGCCCCGGGCUCAACCUGGGAAUUGCAUUCGAGACUGAAUAGCUAGGGUACGGUAGAGGGAAGCGGAAUUUCCGGUGUAGAGGUGAAAUUCGUAGAUAUCGGGAGGAACACCGGUGGCGAAGGCGGCGGCCUGGGUUGACACUGACGCUGAGGCGCGAAAGCGUGGGGAGCAAACAGG